CUACAUCACACAGGCUGCUGACUGUGAUCACAGAAAGCACAAUCAGACCGACAUUCGUUCCUCUGGUUUGUAGCUCCAACAUGCUGAUAUUCCAAAAGGACGGAUAAUGGAUAACACCAGCUACUCCACACCACAUGUCACCAGAGGCAAGGGGGUUUUGCUGUUGCCCUGCAGAGCAGCUACUCUGGAAUUUCUGCAGCUCACAGGAACGAGGCAAUUCCUGUUGUUCCAGUGAGAAGAUAAUGUUUCCCUGGAAGGCCACUUAGGGUUGAAAUAAAGGAGAGGAGGAUUACAUUCCCAA